rnacentral:rRNA from 1 species
CAAUAGCGUAUAUUAAUGUUGUUGCAGUUAAAAAGCUCGUAGUUGAAUUUCUGGACUCAACUUUCGGUCCGAGGCCUUGUGCCUUGCGUACUGUUCUCGUUGGGUCCAUCUUAGUUGGGGAACGUCACUGGCAUUAAGUUGUUGGAGGCUGGAACCACUUCGUUUACUGUGAAUAAAAUAGAGUGUUUAAAGCAGGCAUUACGCCUUGAAUACUUCAGCAUGGAAUAAAAUUAUAGGACUAUUGUGCUAUUUUAUUGGUUUGCGCACUUAGUAAUGAUUAAUAGGGACAGUUGGGGGUAUUCAUAUUUGAUUGUCAGAGGUGAAAUUCUUGGAUUUAUGAAAGAUGAACUUAUGCGAAAGCAUUUACCAAGGAUGUUUUCAUUAA